rnacentral:lncRNA from 1 species
AUCAAACUGGUAAAAAAAAUAUUGUAUCCAAUUACUACUAUUUUUUUAAAAUGGGGUCUUGCUAUGUUGUCCAGGCUAGGCUCAAAAUGAUCUUCCUGCCUCAGCCUCCCAAGUAGCUAAAACUAUAGGAAUGUGCCUCUAUGCCAGGCUUGUGACUAAUUUUUAAAAUUUGUAUUUCCCUGACUACUGGAACAUUCCAGCCUGGGCAAGACAUGGUUUCAAAAUAAAAUAUAGAAAAAGGACUGGGGAUGUUGCUCAGUGCAGAGGGCCCGAGUUCAAUCCCCAGUACCUUCCCCCCAACACACACACACAAAGUACCACCCCAAAUACCAACAGUGACUCCAGUUAAGAAACGAAAUUCCCUUAAUACAUAAUAUGAUUGAAACAGGCAGCAUAGACAUGCAUAAAAUCUUGUUUAUUGUUUAAAGGAUUCUACUAUCACCUGAAGCCCAUCCAUAAGCCCAUGUCUAAACUUUAUGCUGUUUAAAAAUAUGGUUAGCAGCAUUCAGCUGUUGCAAAGCUUUCUCAUGUUAGUUUUUUGCUAUACUUAAAGGUGCAAAAUGAACUGCUCUUCCUUUUCUGUCUUUUUGAAAAGUCUACUUAAACAUAAACUCAAUAACUUCUUCCCUUUGAUUUUUCCAUAGAACAGCUGAGAGAAGUUAUAAUUUCUCAAAGGAACAUCAUUAAAUCUAGAAUAAUUUUUAAAUAAUGAAACAUAGGUUUUAUGUAAUCACUAUUAAUAAAAAAUUCCUCUUAUUUCAUAUUCUGCUAAAGGAUUUAUUAUUAAGGAAAACUUUUUUUUCCUGACCCUUCAAUAAAGAAUUAGGUAGGGUUCUGGCUCCGGGGCCUGUGGUAGCCCUCGCUUCUGGCGGUCAGUUGUCAAGGUUGGUGCAUCGUAACCUGGGCAAAAUGCUGUGGAAUCUGCUGGCUCUUCGACAGAUUGCCCAGAGAACUAUCAGCACUGCUUCAAGCAGGCAUUGUGAAAAUAAAGUUCCACAGAAGCAAAAGCUGUUUCAGGAACUGCACAUGCCAUCUAUUAGUUGGCUACGGCAUCAUUUCCCAAGAAGCAGGAUCCCAAGAAGCCGGAAUGACUUCAGUCAGACCAGCAGUCACGUGGCUCAGUUCCAGUCAGCUCCCUGGACCAGUAAUAUGAUGAAUAACUGAGGUCUUCUUUGGGGAUCAAUAUUUAUUGACUUGUACUAACUGCCACCAAUAAAGCAGUCUUUACCAUGAAAAAAAAAAGAAUUAGGUAGGGCCUAAUCAUAAUCUAGCCUCUCGUUUUAUGGAUAGUCCUGGUACAGUUUUAAGGAGGUUCUUAAUCUUCAGAAGAAGUACAUCAAUGUAGAAAAAAAGUAUCAGUUG